UGCACUGUGGGUAUCUGCAUCCAGUUGUAUGUCUGACUGGAAUGUUCAAAUGACAGUGCUAGAAUACUUCGACACCUACUGUUAUUGGACCUUGCGUCUGUUGUUUGGUCCUAGUAGUGGUCGAGACAAUA